CGGUAUGCUUAACACAUGCAAGUCGAACGAAAAGGAAGAGCUUGCUCUUCCUGAAAGUGGCGAACGGGUGAGUAACGCGUGGGUAACCUACCCUUUGGAAAGGAAUAGCCUCGGGAAACUGGGAGUAAUGCCUUAUAAGAUACGCUUGUCGCAUGGCAUUUGUACUAAACGCUCCGGCGCCAUAGGAUGGACCCGCGUCCCAUUAGCUAGUUGGUGAGAUAACAGCUCACCAAGGCCACGAUGGGUAACCGGUCUGAGAGGGCGAACGGUCACACUGGAACUGAGACACGGUCCAGACUCCUACGGGAGGCAGCAGUGGGGAAUAUUGCGCAAUGGGGGCAACCCUGACGCAGCAAUACCGCGUGAGUGAAGAAGGUUUUCGGAUCGUAAAGCUCUGUUAUUGGGGAAGAAAAAAAGACGGUACCCAAGAAGAAAGUUCCGGCUAACUACGUGCCAGCAGCCGCGGUAAUACGUAGGGAACAAGCGUUGUCCGGAUUUACUGGGCGUAAAGGGCACGCAGGCGGUUUUUUAAGUCAGAUGUGAAAGGCCACAGCUCAACUGUGGCACAUGCGGUAUGCUUAACACAUGCAAGUCGAACGAAAAGGAAGAGCUUGCUCUUCCUGAAAGUGGCGAACGGGUGAGUAACGCGUGGGUAACCUACCCUUUGGAAAGGAAUAGCCUCGGGAAACUGGGAGUAAUGCCUUAUAAGAUACGCUUGUCGCAUGGCAUUUGUACUAAACGCUCCGGCGCCAUAGGAUGGACCCGCGUCCCAUUAGCUAGUUGGUGAGAUAACAGCUCACCAAGGCCACGAUGGGUAACCGGUCUGAGAGGGCGAACGGUCACACUGGAACUGAGACACGGUCCAGACUCCUACGGGAGGCAGCAGUGGGGAAUAUUGCGCAAUGGGGGCAACCCUGACGCAGCAAUACCGCGUGAGUGAAGAAGGUUUUCGGAUCGUAAAGCUCUGUUAUUGGGGAAGAAAAAAAGACGGUACCCAAGAAGAAAGUUCCGGCUAACUACGUGCCAGCAGCCGCGGUAAUACGUAGGGAACAAGCGUUGUCCGGAUUUACUGGGCGUAAAGGGCACGCAGGCGGUUUUUUAAGUCAGAUGUGAAAGGCCACAGCUCAACUGUGGCACAUG
rnacentral:rRNA from 1 species